rnacentral:lncRNA from 1 species
UGUAUCUUGUCAAAUGCUUUCUCUGCAUCUAUUGAGAUGAUCAUGUGAUUUUUAUUCUUCAUUUUGUUAAUGUGGUGUAUCACGCUGAUAGAUUUGCAGAUGUGGAACCAUCCCUGCAUCCCUGGAAUGAAACCCACUUGGUCAUGAUGUAUCAUCUUUUUAAUGUAUUGUUGCAUUCAAUUUGCUAGUAUUUUGUUGAGGAUUUUUGCAUCAAUGUUCAUCAGUGAUAUUGGCCUGUAAUUUUCUUUUUUUGUGUUGUCCUUGUCUGGUUUUGGUAUCAGGAUAAUGUUGACUUCGUAGAAUGAGUUAGGAAGGCUCCCCUCCUCUUCAAUUUUUUGGAAGAGUUUGAGAAGGAUAGGUAUUAAGUCUUCUUUGAAUGUUUGGUAGAAUUCACCAGGGAAGCCAUCUGGUCCUGGACUUUUAUUUUUUGGGAGGUUUUUAAUUGCUGUUUUGAUCUCCUUACUGGUGAUCGGUCUAUUCAAAUUUUCUACAUCUUCUUGGUCCAGUUUUGGAAGGUUGUCUGUUUCUAAGAAUUUAUCCAUUUCUUCUAGAUUAUCCAAUUUGUUGGUGUGUAGCUUUUCAUAGUAUUCUCUUAUUAUCUUUUGUAUUUCUGAGGUGUCUUUUGUAAUUUCUCCUCUUUCAUUUAUGAUUUUAUUUAUUUGAGCCUUCUCUCUUUUUUUCUUGGUGAGUCUAGCUAAGGGUUUGUCAAUUUUCUUUAUCUUUUCAAAGAACCAGUUCUUGGUUUCAUUAAUUUUUUCCAUUGUUUUGUAGUCUCUAUUUAGUUUAUUUCUGCUCUGAUUUUUAUUAUUUUCUUCUUUCUGCUGAUUUUGGGAUUUGUUUGUUCCUCGUUUCUCCAGUACCCUUAGAGGCACUGUUAGAUUCUUUAUUUGGGAUUUUUCUUCUUUGUUGAGGUAGGCUUGAAUUGCUAUAAACUUCCCUCUUAGAACUGCUUUUGCUGUAUCCCAUAGAUUUUGGCAUGCCAUAUUUUCAUUUUCAUUUGUCUCCAGGAAUUUUUUUAUUUCUCCUUUGAUUUCUUCAUUGACCCAAUCGUUUUUCAGUAGCAUUGUGUUUAAUCAUCUCAUUUUUGUGUCUUUCCUGGUUUUCUUGCUGUACUUGAUUUUUAGUUUCAAACAUUUGUGGUCAGAAAAGAUGCAUGGUAUGAUUUCGAUUUUCUUAAACUUAUUCAGCCUUGUUUUGUGGCCUAAUAUGUGAUCAAUCCUGGAGAAUGUUCCAUGGGCAUUUGAAAAGAAUGUGUAUUCUGUGGUUUUUGGAUGGAAUGUUCUAUGUAAAUCCACUAAGUCUGUCUGAUCAAAUGUGUCAUUUAAGGCCAGUGUUUCCUUAUUGAUCUUCUGUUUGGAUGAUCUAUCCAUUGGUGUAAGUGGAGUGUUAAAGUCCCCUACUAUUAUUGUGUUUCUAUUUCUCCUUUUAUGUCUGUUAAUAAUUGCUUUAUAUAUUUAGGUGCUCCUAUGUUGGAUGCAUAGAUACUUCAAAUGUUAUAUCUUCUUGUUGGAUUGUUCCCUUUAUCAUUGUGUAGUGCCCUUCUUUGUCUCUUGUUACAGGUUUUGUUUUAAAGUCUAUUUUUUCUGAUAUAAGUAUUGCUACUCCUGCUUUCUUUUCUUGACCAUUUGCAUGGAAUAUCUUUUUCCAUCCUUUCACUUUCAGUUUGUGAGCGUCUUUAGGUCUGAAGCGUGUCUCUUGUAUGCAGCAUAUAUAUGGGUCUUGUUUUUUUUAUCCAAUUGGCCACCCUGUGCCUUUUGAUUGGAGCAUUUAGUCCAUUGACAUGUAAAGUAGCUGUUGAUAAAUAUGUAUUUAUUGCCAUUUUGUUACUUUUUUUCCUGAGUGUUUUAGUAGUUCUUCUCUGUUCCUUCUUUUUCUCUUGUUCUCUUCCCUUGUGGUUUGAUGGCUUUCUUUAGUAAUAUGUUUGAUUUCUUUUGUCUUACUUAUCUGCUUACUUAUUAUAAGUUUCUGAUUUGUAAUUACCACAAGGAACCUAUGUAAUAUUUUAUGUAUAUAACAGUCUAUAUCAAGUUGAUAGACUCUUUAGCUUAACCUCUUUCUAAAAGCUCUACUUUUUCACUUCCCUCCUCCCACAUUUUAUGUUUUUGAAAUCAUAUAUAAUCUCUUGUUUUGUGUGUGUCUGUCCAUUACCCUCUUAUCAUUGAAAUAGAUAAUUUUAGUAAUUUUGUCUUUUGACCUUCAUCUUAUCUUCACAGGUGUUUGAUCUGCUACCUUUGCUAUAUUUUUACCUUUACCAGUGAUUUUAUUGCCGGGGUUUUUUUGGGGGGAUAUUUUUUUGAUAAUUUUUUAUCCCUAUUUGUGCUCAUCACUUUCCCACUUAAAUAAGUUCCUUCAGCAUUUCUUGUACAAUUGGUUUAUUGGUGAUAAACUCCUUUAAUUUUUGCUUGUCUGGGAAGCUCUUUAUCUCUCCUUCCAUUCUGAAUGACAACUUUGAUGGAUAGAGUAUUCUUGGUUGUAGGUUUUUCCUUUUAGCACUUUAAAUACGUCAUGCCAUUCUCUUCUUGCCUGUAGGGUUUGGACUGAGAAGUCCGCUGAUAGCCUUAUGGGCUUUCCUUUGUAUGUCACUUGUUGCCUUUCUCUUGCCACUUUUAGGAUUCUCUCUUUAUCUUUAAUUUUGGACAUUUUAAUUAUGAUGUGUCUUGGUGUGGGCUUCUUUGGGCUUAUCUUGUUUGGAGCUCUCUGUGCUUCCUGUACCUGAAUAUCUGUUUCCUUCCUUAGAUUAGGAAAAUUUUCCUCUAUUAUUUCUCCAAAUAAAUUUUCUGCCCCUUUGUCUCUGUUCUCUUUCUGGGCCACCUAUAAUACGAAUGUUAGUGCACUUGAUAUUGCCACAGAGUUCCCUUAGAGUGUUGUCAUUCUGUCUAAUCCUUUUUUCUUUUUUCUGUUCUGCUUGGAUGAUUUCCUCUAGUCUUUCAUCUAGCUCACUGAUGUUUUCUUCUGUAUCCUCUACUCUGAAAUUGAGUCCCUCUAGUGAAUUUUUCAUUUCCAGUAUUGUAUUCUUCACUUCUGAUUGGUUCUUUUUUAUAUUUUCCAGUUGUUUGUUGAUGAGCUCACUGUGUUCAUCCAGUUUUCUCCUAAUAUCUGUCAGCAUACUUAUGAGAUUUGUUUUGAUCUCUUUGUCUGGUAGGUUGCUUAUUUCUCUUUCAUUUAGUCCUUUUUCUGGGGUUUUGUACUGUUCCCUUGCUUGGAAUGUAUUCCUUUGUCUCCUCAUUAUGCCUCUUUCUCUGCACUUAUUUCUAUGUAUUAUGUGAGUCAGCUAUGUCUCCUGAUCUUGGAGAAGUGCCCUUAUGUAAGAGAUGCCUUUUGAGACCCAGCAGUGUGCUUCCCUCUCAUCACCAGUCCAAAAGAUCCAGAAGUGACCCCUUUGUAGGCUACUUGUGUCCUACUGCUGUGGCAGGGUUGAUAUUAAUGCAGGUAACCGGGGAAUCUAGUCUUUCAUUCCCUGGCCAGCUGCUUGUAAAUCUGGUUUGGGGAGCCUCAUUACCAUUGGCUACAAGGUCUAACAGCACACUCCUGUUGCAGUUUUCCUGUUAAUUGGGUAGAUACCCAGUGUAGCUGGUUGCUAGGCUCAGGAGCUUACAGUUGCUACAGGCCUCAGGCCUACCAGGCUGUUGUCAGUUCUCUUAGGAGUGUAGCUGAGUGGUGCUGGCCCUAGGCACAGGAGCACUCAAUUGUUUCAGACUUUGGAAGGUGGGACUGAUCCUUUUUAUGGCUAUUUGUGAAGCACAGGUUUUUUGCCACUGAUAAGCCUCACCCCUCACAGGACCACACACACCAUCAACACAGUCCUGGUCCAUGCACACUUCCCAACCCCCUGGAAUGGACCUUGAUGCCCCACUGCAGAGGCCCCCACCUCUCCACCAGUGCCCCCCCACAGUUCACCUGGUCCUCACACAGGCCCUGCCCCACAGAGGUGGACACACUUGCCUGCCUGUAGAGGAUCAAGGCACCCAGUCAAUGCAGGCUGACAAGUAGCCUGAGGGCUUGCUGUUGGGUGGGGCCGAUCCCUAGGGUGGGCUGCCUGCCCUGGCUGAACUGGAUUAAAUCUGCGCUCUAGUGGGUGUGGCAGCCCCCUGGGCUAACAGGCCAGGAGAAGGAUCUCAAUGGUGUCUGUUGGGGUCUGUGUCAACAUGCCUGGACCAGGUCAGAACAAUGGCCCCCACCAAUGUCUCAGUCUCUGGAGAGGACCCUCCUCUCACUGAGAUGCCCCCAGAGCCCACCAAGUGAGUCUCUUUUCAACAAAGGACUGUCAGCCUUCUCUCUGGUGAUUGCAGGUUGCCAAGAUGGGUGAGUUUGUGUGUGGGCCCUUUAAGACCUAAGUCUUUUCGUCUUUCGUCUGAUAGCUUUACUGGGGAUAUUCCCCACUGUAGUUAAUAGCCAGCAAAGCCAGAUAGUAAGAUCCUCAUCUCAAUUGUACUGAGUCUGAAGCCUGCUUACAGCAGUAUUGGCCCCCCUCGCCGAACCUCACUCCUCCAAGGGGGGCCUGCAUACCUUUGGGUGGCUUCCACCUAGCUGGCUGAGAAACUCUGCUGCUCCCAAAGGUCACUUUUUCUCUCCAGCAGGAAUUUCUGCCCCUUCUGCCUUAAUCAGGACUGUCCCUUGUUGUGGGGGUUCUUUUUAUCCAGUUUUCAGUUUUCUAUCCCGGGUAAUUUUUCCAAAAAUAGUUGUAACCUUGUUGUGUUCAUUGGAGGAGAUGAGUUCAGAGACUGUUUCUGCCACCAUCUUGACGAGAUCUCCUACCCCACAAAAAUCUUAUGUUGAAAGUAAUAUAGCGUUUUAAAGUUUAAAGUUAAUUUUCAGAAGUUCAAGUACUGACUCAAUCAAUCAAGGUUCUUAGAAUCAUGCACCAGAGGCUGACUGUGGCUGACUAAGCAGAAAAAAAAAUUAUUAAAAGGUUAUUGAUAAGCUCCUAGAAUCAAUGGCCUGGUUGGAGAAACAGGGCUGAGGUUAGGUUCCCAGGAACUAUGUCCAAAGCACCACUGGCACUUCCCCAGCACCAACGCCACUUAUGCGCCAGACCAGUUUCUCCAUCUGUAGAAUGGAAUUAGUUAUUCAUCCUCAUAUCCUUUCACAAAGCUGAUAUAUAAGCAAGUUAUUUAUUGUCCGAAUAACUUCAGAAUCCCAGAGGUACUUUCUUUUGGGAAUGACUAGCCAUGACAAAUCUGAUUUUCAUAUUGACUCCCAAACUUUGUGGAAGAUUGUAGUAAUGACAUCAUUGGGAAAACUUAUAACUUACUCAGUGCCCUAUUUAUCACUACAUUUCCCACUGUAGAGCACUAGCCUACCAGAACAAAGGAAAUGUAGUUCCUCUUUGCUUAUUAUGGAGGAGGCCCAGACAAAAUACCUUGUCUUCCCCAACCUAAGAUUAAGUGGCUAUGUGUCCCACUUCAUGAGUAUUGGGAAAUGAAAAUUAUGGCUCAGCACCUUACAGAGCUUUAUUUACAAUAACUUCUCCCAAACUGACUUCAGAGAAUUUUGGUCUUCAGUGUGGGGAAAUGUAAUCAGUAAGGCUUAGGCUGUUGUAUAGCUUUAUUGAGCACUUGCUAAUGUUCUAGGAACUGUGACGAAUGCUUCUCAUAUAUUAUUUUCUUAAAUUCUUACUACAAUUCUAUGAUGUAUACACUAUUAUCAUCUCCAUUUUGUUGAUGAAAAAACUGAGUCUUGGAAAGAAUAGGUUAUUCCAAAGUCAUAGAGGAUAAGUGACAGAUCCAGGACUUGACUUUAAACCUGUCUGAUGCUACAGCUGAAGUUCUUAACUACUAUGUGUGGUGUACUGUGAAGGCUUCAGAACUAUGUUCAUACAAAGAGCUUGUCAGCCCUGGUGUGUACAGCAUCACUGCAGCCCUCCAAAUGGUGUUUGUUUCCAGUGAAGUCAUGACCUCAAUUUGCCCAGCAUCUGUGAUUUUGUGCUAAGGGUCAUCUUUACUUCUCAUUUGACCUUUCCCUGUGACUUGAUUCAUAGGUUUGUUUUCCUCCUUCCCAAAUUUUUCUUAUUUUUUUCUGACCUAGCUUCGUUCCUGUCUUGGAUAAAGAUAUUUUUUUCUCACACUUCAUUAAUUUCUAACCAUGGAUAUCCUGGGACUCCAUUCCCGUGUCCUCUUCAGGAACUGGUGACAGUAUAUGAUCAUUCCUUGGCCCUUAAAAACUGGAGAAGUAAAUGAAGAACCUUCUCCAGUCGUGGGAAACAUUGUCUACUUCAUCAGCUUCAAUGACAACAUGCUAUCCCCUUCCUCUGCUUCUAUCUUUGCAUACCCCAAGGCACAAUUGAUGUCCUUUGAUACUGUUUUUUCUAUUCUCUCACCUUUGGAAAGGAAAUCCUCUACAUUCUGAGGGAUUCACCAGCCCCUAUGCUGAGGACUUCCAAAUCAAGAUGUUUGGCUCCAACCUCCUUCUCAACUUCUAUUUAUAUAUCCCCAGUUGUUAGUAGAUAUCUGUCUUCAUAACUCUCACUUAUAGCAUGAAUAAAACAAAACUUUUUAUCUUUUCUUUUUCUUUUUUCCCAUUCCUUUUGAAUUUAUUUCCAACUACUUUUAUCCAUUAUUAGAAUCACUAUUGUCCCCAUUGAUCUCUUAGGACCAGCUAUUUUGAACUUGGAUAGUUCAGUAUUUUUCAUAAAAGGACCAUACAAGUUCUUAUCUAAUAAGAUGUCUUUCUGUUUCUCUCUUCUGAGCUUCCAUGGACAAGGGAGUUCACAAUCAAGGAUGGAGUUUAUCUUGGACACUGAGAGGCACUCUUCGAGGUACUGGGGAUAUGGAGAUGAACAAAACAGAGACGGUUACAAUUCUCAUGGAUCUUACAUUUUAGAAAGAGAGGGGUGUGGUGGCAGCUGAAAACGAACAAAAGACAAGACAGAGGUCUGCAAUUGACAACUUGGCCUGAGGGAAGAAAAAGAGCAGGACAAUCACCAGGAUGCUGGUAGCACAGAGUUUGAAACUUCAGUAGUUCUCUGGUCUGUCUGGAUUUUGGCACAGCGGCUGGACAAGGCUCUUUAACUGGAGUUCUUCAACUUCCUUUGUGGCUCUCAGGCAGGCAUCAAUAUAAAGAGCUGCAUAUUAUUCCAGAGAGACUUGAUGCUGGGACCUACAGCUACUGCUUUAUAAUGGUAAGCAACCUGAGGCCCAGAGAGGUGAAAUGUUUUUGAGUUCACACAACAACUUGAGGUGAGUUUAGAUUGGGAUGAUGGUCUUGUGACAUAUUGAAGACACCGACUGAGAAUCACAAGUCCCUUAUCUGUCUCAAGUGCUCUGAUUCUACAAUCGCCAGGCUAUGGUUUUGGUUUGUCCAGCAAGCUUCCUGUCCUUCAAUCAUUGGUGAGGAUUUUUUGAGCAUAGCCCAGUCUCCUUACCUGUGGGAUGUCUUGGGGCUCACUGGCACAUAUUUUCUGUUUUACAGAUAAACUCCUGAUCAGAUAGGCUCAGUCCAUACUCUGCACCUCACUCUCUCUAUUGCUUUGGUGACAGACCAUAUUCCCACUUCCCUCUUAUCCUGACUCCUGACUAAGCACAACCCUUAGAGUCUCUCCACACCUUCAGUCACUGAGGGCUCUGCUCCUUAGUGUGGCGUUGCUAGCCAACUUAUCCCAACUUUGCAGGUGGUACCCAGGCAAUCUCUUAUGUGUGCCCUGUACUGUGCUAGAUGCCAAUAGAGACAAAAGACUCAGGAAACUUCGUCACAGCCUUUGAUCAGUUGCCUCAGCACAAAGGCAAACUUUUUAACAUAGCUCACAAGGUCCUUUUUCAUGAUUGGGUCUGACCUUAAAAUGAAGAAAUCAUGGUCGUUCCUAAACAAAUGAUUGUCCCUCCAAUAUCACAGGUUACAUUCUAUUCUUUCCCCUUUCCUUACUUGUAACUCCCUCUUCCAAAAGUAAGAAACUUAGCUCCUCUUGAUAACCGUUUUUUUAAAACUCUGAUUUUUGAAAUAAUUUUAGACCUACAGCAAAGUUACACAGAUAGCACAGAGAGUUCCUAUAUACUUCUCACUUAGUUUCUAUUUAUCGUCUUGAAUAACCCUGGUACAUUUAUCAGAAGUAAAACUUAACAUUGGUGUGUUACCAGCAACUAAACUCCAGAUUUCCUUUACUACUUUUCCCACUGAUAUCCUUUGUUUGUUCCAAGAUCCAAUCCAGGAUACUGCAUUUUAUUUAAACCUCAGUUUUUUGUUUUUUGUUUUUUUGAGGAAGAUUAGCCCUGAGCUAACAUCUGCUGCCAAUCGUCCUUUUUGCUGAGGAAGACUGGCCUUGAGCUAACAUCCAUGCCCAUUUUCCUCUACUUUAUAUGUGGGACGCCUACUACAGCAUGGCUUGCCAAGCAGUGCCACGUUCGCUCACACCCAGGAUCCGAACCGGCGAACCCUGGGCUGCCCAAGCAGAACGUGCGAACUUAAUCACUGUGCCACCAGGCCUGCUCUAGCCCUCAAUAUUUUUAAAGGUACUGCCCAAAUAGUGCUGGGUCUGCAGCUUGAAGGUGAGGUGUGGGCCUAUUUUCUGCACCCUGCAACAUAAAAUCCAAACCUGUGGCCUUUCUGAAUAAAAUUGAAUUUUCAUCUUAAUUUGAAGUACAGGUGUUUAGAGAUGUCAAGCCAUGAGACAAGGAAAAGUCAACAUGAAGUAGACACUUUCUUUCCCAUGAGUAAUAAAACUUUAAGAUCACAAUAUUAUUUCCAUUACAAGAACAUGAAUAAUGUGAACGGUGGCUUUACUAUUGCUGAGUGUUUUGUUGGGCACGUUUCUAUUGAGUCACCUCAUGUUUUAAAAUUCUAGACACAGGGAAAGCAGAGUUGGCAAAGGUUGGCCAAGAGAACUAAGCUCCCAGGAGGUUGUAUUUUAUGUUUUUCCCUAAAAUAAGCCAGAUAUGAUGCUGGAAAUUUUUUACACACUAUUUUAAUUGUACAAAACCUGGUGUGGUUAUGGUUUUCCUCAUUUUUAGAGUUGAGAAAAUUUAGCCAUGAAGUAUUUUAAAAAGUUUCUCAACAUUACGUCGCAGACCAGCAUGAGGGAGAGGGAGCAUCAAGCCCAUCUUUCCUGAUUCCAAAGCUGAGCCCUUCCCACUGUCGAAUGGCCACUUCUCACCACGGAAUCAAUGAGAGUAGAAUGUGCGUAUGUGAACGAACUUGUAAACUUCAAAGCGGAAUAAAACAUUAGGAUUAUAAUCAUUGCAAAUGUUAAUAAUUUAUUAAUUUGUUCUAAAACGUUUUUAAUCCCUGUAUGUGUGAAUUUACAUACAGGUAAAGCAUGUUUAGAUACACUUUGAAGAUAAUUUGUCCUAAAAUAUAGAAACUUCAUUAUCUUAUGUGACAGCACAACAGAACGCCUCUGUUUUUAUAUAUUGUGGAUUUCUAGAAACUUAUACAACUGCUAAAAAUUGAACAAUAGACUUAAUAUUAUGAGGAUUUCUGCUCACAGAAUGCUAAAAAUGUAAAAUCUCUACUUGUAUUUUGACUUUUAGACACCAUGUUCGAGACUAUAAUGAUUUUGUUUAAUAUCUUUAAUUUUAUUAUUUUUUGUUAAGAAAGAUACUUGACCUCUCUAGCCCCAAUUUACUUAACAGUGGGUGCACAAUUAACUGUUUAAAUCUGAUGAGCCUCCAGUUGAGGGUAAAGAUACUUGGCUUCCAGAACAUCUAGUGAUAAACCUCUUUAUCUAAUUUAUAUACCACCUACUACCUUCAGAAAGAUACUUAACCUCUAUGGCCCCAAUUUAGUCAUCAGUAAAAUGGAAUAUAAUAAUCUUACCUACCUGAUAGGGUUGCUGUGAUGAUUCAGGAGGAUGAUAUUAAUAAAGCUUGUGGAGUAGUGCUUGGCACAGAGUAAGCACUACAUAAGCCAUUUGUUAAAUAAAUCAAUAAGAAUAGAGCUUCAUCACAACAUCAAUGGUAAUAAACCUUCAUUGAUUUCUUUCUACAUGCUAUAUUUC